CUCCGUGGUUGGUUCCCCUCCCCGCUCCCCCUCUCCCUUUCGACACCAAAAAACGUGUUGACCAUCUUUGGCAGGCGGUGGAUCUGAUAGGCAACCUUAUCAUUUUGGGACGCGUUGUGGUGAUCUGGGGGAGGCAAAUGAGUGUCCUUUGCACUUCAAAACUCCUGCUUGAUCAAGUAUGGACCUCAGUCAUGGAAGGUGAUGUAUGAUGCCUUUGGUGUUAGGCUACAUGCAGGGAAGCAAGCAGAGGUAUGACAAGCUUUCUAUGUUGCAGCCACUGACAGGCAAAAUAACGAAGUUGUGACCCAAAUAAGAAAAUGAAUGGUUAGCACCUACGCGACCAAUGACAACAAUUUUGUAUUAUCAGGUGCAGUCAUUUGUGCCUGUAGUGUUGUUGUUGCCCAAUCAUGCAGGGAAGCAAGCAGAGGAUCAGAAGGUCGAUGAAGCUAUUUUGGAAGUGUUAGACCUUCGAUGGGGAGCACAAAUGACGCAAAGCAGGCCGACUUGUACACGAUGCUAAACAAGCAAAGCUCCAGAGGGCAGAAUGGCAGUGGCGUCACAGAUGGUAAAUCCCACGCCCCCUACUUACGAGGAUGGAAAACAUGCAUAUCCAAAUGAGUCAUCCGAAUCCCCUUACUUUGGCUCAUCUGUGGAUUACGGUGUUCGGCAAUUCUACAGCAGCAAUUUACAGUGGUCGAUUACUUAGCAGCCAGGGUUUCAUGGCCUACGUGCAGACGGACUCCGGGAAGACGACGACCUUCUACUUCCCCAUCACCGGCAUCAUCAUGCAGCCCGCUAGAAUGCCACAAUAGGGCGGGAGCAUGGGGAUGAGAACCGCGUACCCAUCUGCCCUCAUACUCCCCCCCACGAGAGAGCUCUCCAUGCAGGUCAUUCUCUCGCUUGAUUGCUUGUUUCUACAUCUCUUGCUUUUUUCUAUCAUUCUAUAUCGUUCUUGAGGAUGCUUUGAAAGUUCCAUGCAUGUGGUGGUUGGUGGGUAAUAUUACUCUCUUCUUUUUUACGCUACAAAUUCAUGAAGAGGCGAGGAAACUUUCGUAUCAGACUGGUGUUAGGGUAGUUGUCGCUUAUGGUGGAGUGUCGAUUACUCAGCAGGAAACAACCCACAAGAUUGGUGUGGUGAUAGCCAAAUCUUCAGGCGAUUUCAAACCAUGGCCGCGUAAAAGCUCUUGUUGAUUCUGCUAGAGAGCACAUACUUGAGUUCUGAAUUGGUCCAAAUGCCUGUUCGUAUAUCUCUCGAGGAUCACAUGUAAUAUUCUCCUUUUCCUUUUCCUCCAUACAUCGAGCAAGAUUGUUUUUUAGUUAAUAUUUCGUCUUGUUGUGAAGGGUGCGGACAUGGCAAGACUCUUUGAUCUUGUGUUCUAA